rnacentral:tRNA from 76 species
CGCGGGAUGGAGCAGUUUGGUAGCUCGUCGGGCUCAUAACCCGAAGGUCGUUGGUUCAAAUCCAGCUCCCGCAACCA